GCCAGUGUGGUUUAGGGGUUUGAGUGUUGGACUACAACUCUGAGGAUCUGGGUUUGAUUACUAGCCCAGCCAUGGAA